rnacentral:lncRNA from 1 species
UUGGCUUUUCCAGGCAGGGCCCAGAAAGGCUGGGCCUGUUUCCUCUUAACUCCGGAUCUUUCCAUUUCACCAAACUGCCUCCUCAGCCCUGGCUGACUAGCCAAGUGACCUCAGGAAGUCCCUCAGAUCUCCAGGCCUUGCUUCCUCAUUUGUAAGGAGACUGGAACUUAAUUUGGAGUCCUAAGACCCAAGUUCAAAUUCUGAUUGUUUCUAAUGAAAACUAACAUUGGUAGCCAUCUGUAGCAUGGGAGAGAAAGAGGGGAGAAAAUUACAAAAGAAAAUUACUAAUAACUUGGUUGUUUAUUUUAAAAAGAAAAUUACAAAAUAACUUUUUGUUUAUUUUAAAAGCAAGGUACUCGUAAUAGAUCGGCGGUUUCAGAUGCAAUACUCUUUUUUCUUCCGUUUCAUUUUGUUAUGGCAAUGGCUGCUUUAUUUCUUAAAUUCAGAAUAAAAAAAAGAUAAAAAAAUUCAACAUUUGCUCAUCACUUUAAUACUUGCAAAUCUAUGCAUAUGUAUUCCCCCGUUGGCUUUUCACCGCUCUGGGAGCAGGGUUAAGUGGUUGCCAGGAUCUCCAUCCUUCAGAUGAGGACGUAGGUUGGGAAGGGUUCCGUGACCCACCCAGAGUCGCCCCUUAUUUCCUUCCUUUGCCCGCCUAUGGCUGGCUCUGUUUAGCGGUUUGCACGCAGUCCUCGCUCUUAGAUUGUAACCUCCUUGAAGGCAGGGGCUCUCUUCAUGCCCGACCCCCGGCAUUUAGCGCGGCGCUUGGCAACAGUUGGGGCUUAACGUUACGAGGGAACGAUGGCGGCCGAGCUGCCUCCAACCCACACCCAGGCCGGGCGCUGGGCCCGAGCCCCGGCCGGUGCAGGGCGGCCCCUCGGCCUGCACGCCCAGCGGGCUCCGGGUCCGGGGAGCGCCGGCCCAGCCCGGGCUGCGGCGCGGUCCCCGGCCCAGGCUGCGCUGCGCAGACGCGGCCGCUAGGUGGCGGGGCCCCGCGAGCAGAGCGUGGGAAGCGCCCGGGCUCGGGGGCUGAGCUCACACGCUGGCUCGGCGGCCGCUGCAGAAGAGCCGGCGGCCGGCCGGGCGGCUGCCCGGGCUCCAGCCUCCGGGGGACCCCUCCGGGGGGCCCCCUCCCCAAGCGCCGCCCCGCUCCGGAAGCCGACUCAGAAGCAAAGCUGCUUGGCACAUGAGAGUGGGGGACAUCUGGCCCAGCCAAGUCCUCUGCAGCACUUGUUCCUGAAACAAACAUGUUCUGGUGUCUCCGUGUGCCUGGGUCUGCUUGACUGUUUCACCCCCUCCCCCAAACUACCCUGGAUGGGCACUGGGACCCAGACAGUAUGAAUCUCUGCUCUGGGCCCUACUGGAAGGCCGAAGACCCCGUGCGUGUGAAUUGGACCGGACACAAGAGAGCAAGGCAGCCACCUUCACCCCUGGCCGGGGGCUGGAGGAGGCCUGGAAGACCUCAGCCAGGCCUUCCGAAGAACUUUCCUCAGGAACAUAUGACUCAGCAGUUGGAUUCCCAGGGGGACAGAGGCCCCGAAGUUCUCCCUGCUAUGGUUGGAGUCCACACCUCUGGAACUUGGCACCUGAUCUUGGAAGGCCAGAGGGGUAAGUCGGUUUCAUUUUGGAUUCCUCGGGCUACAGUUCACCCUGGCUCCCCGGAUUUCCUGGCAGAAGACCCCCUGGUGGGGGGGUAGGAGGGGUGAUCCCUGCCAUCAGAUAGUCAAGUGGGGUUCUCGGUUCUCACUGCAUUGGGCCCAAAGGCCCCCUGAGAAAUCCGGAGGAACCUGGGUUUGGGGAAAAGCCAGCCUGUGAAUUACCCCUGACCCCUUCGUAGCAGAAAUAGUUAAUGUGAUGGUGGUCCUAGGAUGGCGACGAACCGUCCUUUAGGGACUUCAGAAGAUGAGCUGGGAUGCCGUUGGGCUGGGUUCUGGGGACCAUCUCCCAGAGUUCAGCAAGGCUCUGCAGGGGGGUCUCAGGGGAAGAGUUGAGCCUGCUGAGGGGAGGGUCUCGAAGCCCCAGAGCAUCCAAGGUGGUGGGUGAUGACAGGCCACCCAAAAGUGUGGCCAGAGAGGCGGGGUGAAGGCCCAACUUUUUUUUUUGGUCUUGUUUGACCAGCCUUGGCACUGCCCCCCCCCCCCAGCUCUCCAGGGGAAAGCUGCAAUUCUGCUAUUGCAACACAGGGAGCAGACUGGAGAAUUUAGAUCUGCGUCACACAGCUCAGAGAGAGAGAGAGGGAGAGAGAGAGGGAGAGCUCCGUCGAUAGGUCUGUUAGCAACAGCCCUGCAGCAGCAGCAGCAGCAGCAGCAGCAGAGAGAGAGAGAGAGAGAGAGAGAGAGAGAGAGAGAGAGAGAGAGAAGUAAUAUCAACAUUGAGGACUAGGUCCUGCCAACCCACUUGCGAAGCUUUCAGAGAUGUAUUGGGGACAUCGCAGCCCGUGGGAGCUCGGGCAGAGAAGAUGGCAUGCAAGGUGGCAGGAUGGCUCUGUGGGGAAGGAGGCUGGGGGGGCAGAGGUUGGGGGGCGAUGGCAGGCUCCGCCGGGGACGAAAUUCUGGAACAUUCUGUCCUGCGACACCAUACGGCAAGUUGGAUGGAGAGCCGGGACUGCGCAGGAGGCGACAGGCAGUUGUGACGGGCUCCCAGACUUGGUGGUGUGUACCCCUUCUUCCCCCACGUAUGUAUAUUCUGGGAUCGGGGGCGAUUCUUCUGUGGAGGGGGGUGCUUUCUCUCCUCAUCGCUUUUUUUUUUUUUUUUGGCUGUUUCCCUUUAAUUUUUCCACUUUAAUUUCCAUUCUCCUUAGGGUGAGUUAGUCCAAACUGACAUGGGUCAUGAGGAAGGAAACAGACUCCCCCUCCCCCCUCCAGGUUCCACUUCCAUCCACACCUUGAGCCCAGCAGGAGGUCCCUUUCUUUAGGAUGGACAGAUGACUCACCCUCUCUUUGGGUAUCUGUCUGUCAAUCAACAGAGUUGUGAUGCAGAAACGUUAGUGGGGGGGCCAGGGAAAGAAAAGGUGAAGGGACAACUUGGUUGGGGGCUCCCUGGCCCAAGGUCUGGCCAUGGGAGCGAGCGUCAGGGUCUGGGUGGAGCGGGAAGGGGGGUGGGACCCGGGCGCCCGGGUGGGGGCUGAGACUGUGGCAGGUUUGUCACUGCGUAGUUGGGGGAACUAAGUGGCGAGUGGUGACGCAGUCAUGGGCACAUCUGAGGGGGGCAGGGGAUCGAGGCUCCCCGAGUCUGCCGAGCCCCGCUGAGAGGGUUAAGGAUGAGCCGAGAAGGGGAAGCCAGCAUUUAGAGAUUAAAUGUCAUCCUUCUGGCGUUGCAAAGUUGUUUACCUUGCAUUCUCUGUGUCUCCAUGUUGGCAUCUCUCCAGUUCCCAUGUGAUGGCCUUCCCUGUACUGCUGCAUCAUUAACUAAGUGGCAGGGCUGGCCCUUCAUUGGCCAGGGGAGGGCUCAGGCUCCAGACACUUCCUCCCAUUGGUGAGAAGGGUGAUGGCAGGUGAAAAGCUCUUUUGGAUUGGCCGAGAACUGGGUAUCAAAUCUGAAUUUCCAUUUCACUGGAGAAAAAAAGGGGGGUAGUGUGGCGAUGAUGGUUGGAGCGUGGAGGGGGGCACCGGGCAGUUCGGAUCUCUGAAAGCUCUUCAGGGGCGUGUGUGUGUGCAACAGUGCCCAGGGUGCUUGGAGGCGGAAGCUCCUGGGCAUCCGAAGGACCCACAGGGCCAGCUUGAUUGCAUUUGCUCCUUAGGUGUAAGAAGAUCUUGCAGCUGUACAAACUUUUUUUUAAAUGGGUUUUUUUUUCUGGAGGGGGAGAAGAGUUGAUUUGAGAGGCAUGAGGGAUGGCAGAAGAGUUGACAGCCUCAGAAGAAAAGCUGCCUGGGCUUAUUUGAUUUCAAAAGAGGGAGUUUCCAGCUGUCACUGGCCGCACCUUGGUGUUGCAGCAAAUAACUCCCAACUCUCCUGGAAAUGCGUGGGCAAGGUAGGGCUGCGGCUGCUGCCUCCCGGGGCGGCCUCCAGACUGCUCCCCGGGGACCCGAGGUUUGCACUGACGUCCGGAGGUAGCCAUAGGUCCUCAGAGGCCAGCCUCGCGUCGGGGAGGACUGGCCUUCCUCACGUCAUCCUCAGGUGGAUGGGUGCUGGGGGAGAGGAAUGCCAUGAGGAAUGGCCCCGGAUGUUAGCCCCUGCGCUGGGUGGGCUUUCUCUAAGAGCUGAUGGAAGAAAGAGCUUCCUGACCUGCAUCGAAGGAGAGGAGAAUUGGGAGAGAGAAACUGGGGCAGCAGCUGCUGGGGGGAAUCUGAAAAAGAAAUGUUUAUCGAGAUCGUCAUCCUUCCCUUAAAUGGAGGUCCCAAGUUUGCCGUAGAUGUUCAGGUAAGAAAUAGAUAGGCCCCUUGAGCUCAGCUAUCCUCCCCCCCCCACCUCCCGAGUGGGUCAUGAAAGCUCCGUUGUGCCCCGGCCGUCCACCCCAGCGCCGCAGUGCACCCUGGAGUUUUGGCCGGCGGCUCGUGCCCCCCCAUUUCUUAUGUAACCGUGUUAUGUGCCUUCUCUCGUCCUCUGGCACGGCCCUCGCCCCGUUGGGGUGCAGAAAGCCCAGGAGGGAGGUCCUGGCUGGGGGAGAAAUUAGUGAACAAGGCUGCUCACCAGCCCCUGAGUGGUUGCGCAGUUGGCAAUACGGGCUGGGCGUGAGGGCAGAUUCCACCCUGUCCCUGCCUUGUCACCAGUGGUUUCCUGGGAACAUCUGCCUUGGAGAGAGAACGGUCCCUUUCAACUUCCUUCUGUAACUCAGCUCAUUUUGGAGGGGGGGAGAGCUUUCCAAAGGAGAAGGUAUGAUGGCUAACAAAGUAAGAUUUUAAAAAAAAAUUUUUUUUUAAGCAAAGAUGGAGGUCGGAUGGGAUGGCGUAGUUCUUGUGACUUUCUCGGGUCAUCCCGAUCCCGGUUGUUUUUCUUGUCCUUUUUUAAUUGUUUGCCCCUGGACAGUGGUCUUGAAUCCAGAUGCUUUCCUGUUGCUUGUCUUGGGGAGGUGUCCAUCAGUCCCUGCCAUGGUGGAGUGGGCUUCUGCGGCCCUACUGCGCCAAUUGCGCAGAACGGGCGGGGGCCGAUGCGGGGAGGGGGGAGGAGAUAGAGAACCCGGCUACUGCAGAAGCAGCAGAGGACGUAGUGGAGGUUGCGGCAGUGAGAGGAGGAGGUUCUCGGAGCCGGGAAGGGCUUGUUGUGCCCACCCUUACCCCGAGACCCAGACUUUGGGAAACAUGAUUAUUGUUCUUGGGACUUAUGGCUGUGUUGGGCAGGGCCCUCGCCAGUCAGAAAGUGUUUGGAGGCACAGACUGCAACGAUCCCCUCCUCGGAGAAAGUCCUGACGCACUUUGGGGUGGGGUGGCUGACGUAGCCCAGAACGUGAGAAGCAUCGGCCGUGGGGCCCGUGUUCCCGGCAGCCCAUUCUUCGACCACCGGCUGUGACGGGACGUGAAUCAGGUUUUGCUGCUUUCCAUGGCGUUUUGUGUAUGUCGAGAAUCCCGGGGGGGAUUUGAAGGUCACCCCUUCGUUUUACAGGUGAGGAAACUGAGGUUUGGGGAGGCUGUAAUUACGUAGAUAGUAGUAAAUACCAAGCCCAGGUAUCCAGCUGGCUUCUUCCGACUCUCUACUAUGUCACGUAGACUAUAUAACACAGGAUACCCCUUGAUUCUUUCCUUUACAUCCUUAUUUACAUAUCCCAUGUAUACCAGCCCUAAUUGGAAAAUUGGGAGAGUCAUUUAGGAGUGGGGAGUAAGGAACUAGAAGGAAGGGGUAUUUGUAAUGCAAGGAUUGAUGAGUUGAUUCUUCUCGUGGGUACCCCUUCCUGAGAUCGCCCAUGGUUUGCUACAUCAUCUCCUCCUCCUUCCGUGCAAAAUGUGCCGUCGUCCCUGAAAUUUGUCAUCCUUGCUCCCCGAAGAACCUCCAGGGGGCCACCUCUCUCCCUGCUCCUUGGCUCACAGCUUGGAGGACCGGCCCCCAGGUGGCCUCUUUUGGUAUUGUGGCCGCCUCAUGAUCCUUUCCCCCACCUCUCCUCCUCCUCCUCCUCUCAAGAGACAGUGGAUGAGAUCCUAGGGCCUCAGAAGCCUGUGACCAUAGAGCCUCAGCUCUGGCCGAACCUGCUAAGAGCAGUUGGUCUCAAUGAUGAGGUGCCCAUCACCAGGGGAUGGAGAGCCACAGGAGAAGUGGGGGACCAUGUCCUAGGGGCCGAUACCUGUGUCAGUGGAGGGACUAGUCACCCAUGUGGAAGGAUGGCUUCUUAGUGAUGUUAAACUAAGAUGGAUGACCAAGGAUUGAUACCUGUGUCAGUGGAGGGAAUAGCCGUCCACUUAGAAGGACAACUUUUUGAUCAUGUUAAACUAAGGUGGAGAACCAAGGAUGGUCCAGUUUAGGAGAACAUUGUCUAGGGGCUAAUCUUGUGUCAGUGGAAGGAGUAGCUGCCCAGAUGGAAGGAUGGCUUCUUAGUGACGUUAAACUAAGGUGGAUGACCAAGGAUGGUCCAGUUUAGGAGUUCAUUUCCUAAGGACUGAUACCUAUGUCGGUGGAGGGAGUAGCUGCCCAGAUGGAAGGAUGGCUUCUUAGUGACAUCAAACUAAGGUGGAUGACCAAGGAUGGUCCAGGGUAGGAGACCAUUGCCUAGGGGCUGAUCCUGUGUCAGUGGAGGGAGUAGCUGCCCAGAUGGAAGGAUGGCUUCUUGGUAAUGUUACACUAAGGUGGAUGACCAAGGAUGGGUCAGUUUGGGAGACCAUUUCCUAAGGGCUGAUACCCGAAUCAAUGGAGAGACUAGGCACCCACAUGGAAGGAAGGCUUCUUGAUCAUGUUAAACUAAAGUUGAUGACCAAAGAUUAUUCAGUUUCCCUUGAGACUCUCCCUUUAGAGAGCACAUUAAUAUCUCAAAAUUCCAAGUCUUCACAUGCCCUCUUCUGCUUUAUUUGUUCAUUUAACUGACAUACUAAAUAACCUGCUGUGUGCAAGACACUGGGGAAGGUAUUACAUAUUGCCUUUGAUCUGGAGGAGUUCACAAUCCAGUUGGGUGGGAGAAAAAGGGAUGGACUGGGACCCUCUGGUUUCAUUGGUAUAGGGAACGCCCAGUGAGGAAUCUCUUUUUUUCCAAAGAUUACCCAUCAGCGCCUGCUUUGCCACUUUGAGAGCUGCCUGGAGCUCCGAGGUCAGUGACUUGUAUCGGAUCGCACCAUCAGGAUGUGCCAGGGAUGCAGGAUUCUCUCCUCUCAGAGGGCUCAUCAGAAUGCCCAUGAUGGAUGCUGAGCCACAGAAACAUUGUUGGAGAACCUAGAACCUCCCUGGCAGGAAUAUUGGGGCCGACGGGGUGAGUGAUUUCAUCAGGGUCACGCAGUGGGUCAAGGCUGGGCGCCUGCCCCUUGGCUUCUCAAGGCCCCACCCCCAGACACCGCGGCCGCUCUCCCCCAGCAUGGGCUUGGCCAGUGAGAACUUUGCCCCUGAUGGGGCAGAAAAGCAUCUGCCAAGCCAUUGGUGAAUCCUGCCCCUCAGGCCAUGGAGUGACCCGGCUGGGCUAGCCCAGAGGGCUGUGGAUUGGCCACUGAUAGAAGAGGGCACAGGUGCUGAGGGAUUCUCACUCCAGCAGGUAGGGCUGGCAGCCUGGGGAGGCCUCUGACCAUCACCCUGACAUUUUGGGGGGUAUCCUAGAGGUCACUGGCGAUGAAGGGCAGGACGGGUCAUGAGUGGGUGCUUCGGGGUAUAGGCUCGGGAUUUAUUUCCUCUGGGGCAAAGGUAGGUCAGGCUGAACUCGACUUGAGCCUUGAAUUGUUUCAUUCCUAGGAUUCCCAUUCCUGACAAACUGGCUGCCCACUCAGGCCAGGAAGGCUGACGUCAGUGUGGCUGGGGAAGGGUCACAGGGACACGGGAGGGGCAGGACAGCCAUGGGAACUUUUUAUGGAGAGAGGAGUAACUUAUCUGAAAUAUAGAACAAGGGGAAAUGGACCUGAGUUACAGCCUGUGAAAUUUGUGCUGGCUGAAAGGAAGGACUCCUCAAUGAGGAGGGAUUGGGGGGCUUCCAGACUGAGAUACCCUGGGGAACCUCCUGAAGAGAAUCCCCCUCUUGGCUAGGGAAGGAUAACUCUUCUUGGUGGAGAUGGUGAGAAGUCUUUCAGGCAGCAAAGGGCCCCAAAUAAGGUCCCUGGAACUAGGGGGAAGGUUGCAUGAGUACAGCAAGGGUCUUAAAAAGUAUAGCAUAGAGAGAUAUAAAGGACCUUAGCGAUCAGUUAAUCUGCUUCCCCUCCAUUUUACAGAUCAACAAACUGAGGCCCCAAGGUAUUAAAAUCCACUGGAAGUCAUCAUUAAGGAGCCCAGCACUGUGUUUUGCAUAUAAUAGCCCCUGAAUAAAUGCUUAUUGGAUUGGAAUGAACUGAUUAAAUCAGCGAUCUUUGAAUUCCUGAAGUAAAUUUCUCCAGAAACCAUCUGUCAGCCUGUGUUAGAGACAUUUAUCAGGCUUUCAGGGAUGCAGGUGGCCGUGAGUCAUGGAAUGCCAGGGCUCUGGAGAAUGAAAGGUGUGCGUCACACAGAGAAGUGAUGGUGGGCGUCUGGCGUUGGCUGCGCAGGUGCGUUGUCAGCACGGCGGGGGGAAGGUGGGCCAGCCGCGUGGAGAGUGAGAGAACCAGUGGGCGGUCCACCUGAAGGUAAGCAACUGCUCCGAACCCACAGGCAUUUAUUAGGUACCUGCUGUGUGCACGGACAUUGCUGGGGGGGGGGGGGGGUCAAAAUCUUCAAGGAACUUUCUGCUUCAUUGGGGGGUGGGAUGCAACAUGUGAAGACAAAUAUAUACAUGGUCCUUUGACACGAAGGGAGAAAAGAGCAUCAACAAUUAAAGAUUUCAGGAAAGGUUUCCUAUAGAAAAGGAUGUCAUUCCUAGGAUUAAAUACAAAAUCUUGCACUUGGCAUUUAAAGUCCUAGACAACAUGGCUCCCAUCCACCUUUCUAGGACCCUAGAGGUACAGACUUGGAGUUCAGAUGAGAGGUUAGAGACACACACACACACAGGUUACAUAUAUGUAUGCAUGCAUGUGUGUGUGUACACACAUGCUUAUGUGUACCUUUAUUGUAUGUGUGCAUGUGUGUAUAUGAGUAUGUUUAUGGAUAUAUGUAAUAUGUGUGUAUAUGUACAUAUAUUUGAGAGGCUUUUACAGAAGAAUGAUAAUUGAAUCCAUGGAAGCUGAUGAGUUUAUUACAACAGGAUGUAAAAAAGACUAAAGAAGAGCACCUUCAACACAGCCUUGGGAUGUACUAAGCAAAGUUGGUGAGCCAAAAUGACUUGGAAGGGGUUAGACAGGUAGGAGAAUAAGGAUAGAGCAUUAUCAUCAAGACCCAUGGAGAGGAGAUGGUUUCCAAGAAGAGGGAAUGGUCAGCAGUGUCACAAAGCUUCAGAGGGAUCAAAAAAGAGGAAAACUCUGAUAAUAGGUUAACAGAGUUCACAGGAAUAGUUAAGAGAGCAUUGGUGAAGAUCAGAAUGCAAGGCGUUGAGAAGUGGGAAGUGAUGAAGCCUUUUUCUAGGAAUUUGGCCACAAGAGGGAGAAGAGAUAUACAAUAUAAUGGCUUGAGAGGAUGGAAACAUAGAAUAAGGGGGAAAGGGAGCUUUUUUCUUGGCAAAACAAUAAUCAGGAUUCUCUUCUUUAAGACAGGGGAGAUUUAUGGGGAAGUAACCACACUGAUAAAGUCCUAGGUCCAUUGAAGAUUAUCUAAAGGUUGUCUCCAGUUCAUUUACUGGAUCUUCCUUGAGCAACUUGGGAAGGCAGAGUAAGAGGAGGCAUGGAGGGGUUGUCAAUCUGCCCUGGUGAGGGAGUUCCACCAUUGAGUUCAGAGAUCCAUUCAAGUAUCAAAACGCUUUAUUUAAUUGGGCCCCAUGAAGGCCUAUGUGGCUGGCUUCCAAGGAUUAGCUCGGAUAUGUGCUGAGAGACUCAUCAACCAGAAGGUUGGUCACUAGGUGAUGAAUUAUUUUGGCUACAGAAGCAAAUAGACUAUGAAUGCUAAGGUGUGGAGAGGUUGCCAUCUGCUUCCUUGGAGGGUGCAACCAUGCCAAUUAAAUCAUAGAUCCCUGAAGCAUUGGAGGAAUUAUUAUUUAACAGUUCUGGUCUGGGGUUCAUUUAAAGAUGGAUUCUGAGUGAGAGAAUUCUUUCUUUUGGGAGGAAGAUAGACAGAGAUAGAGAAAUAGAGACAGAGAGAAACAGAGAAAGAGAGAGAGCAGAUAGACACAGAGAGAGGGAGACAGACAGAGAGAAACAAAGAGAGAAACAGUGAGAGAGAGAAGAGACAAAGAAAGACACAGAGAGAGGGAGACAGAAACAGAAAGAGUGAGAGAGAAACGAGAGAGAGGGAAAGAGAAACAAAAGAGAGGGAAAGAGAAACAGAGAAGAGAGGGAAAGAGAAGCAGAGGGAGACAGAGAGAAACAGAGUGAGAGAGAAAGAGAAGAGAGGGAAAGAGAAACAGAGAGAAGAGACAGAGAUAGACACAGUGAGAGGAAGACAGGGAAAGAAACAGAGAGAAGAGAGGGAAAGAGAAACAGAGAGAGGAGACAGAGAGACAGACACAGAGAGAGGGAGACAGAGAAACAGAAAGAGUGAGAGAGAAACAGAGAGAGAAAAGAGGGAGAAACAGAGAAGACAGAGUUUAUAAAGCCCUACUUCUUGUCAGCUUGCUUUCCUUGACCUUUAUGGCUUUGGGUGAUGGAAGAUCUCUGAGCGGGAGGGAUGUUUAUGGGCAUGGAGUGAAAGAAACGACUCCCAUAGAAGGAGUAUUACUUUGCUGAGUUUUCAGGAUGAGGCUCUCUGAAGGGUUGUAGUUGGUUCCUAUUGUUUGAAUUGCCUGGUGAGGUUUUGGUUUUAAAGGUGCUAUAUGAAGUUGGACUAAAGCAGGUUCCUUUCACUGGGGAGUCAUUAGUGACUCAGUGAGGCUGGGGAGGGUUAGGGGGCUUUGUGUCCUUGGGACCUUUCUGUGAGUCUCUUGAAAUACCAUGUUUAUCUGAUAAGUAGCAGCCCUGCAGUCUUUGAGGGGAUGCUCCAUGAGGGAUAAUGAGCAGCUCUUUCUAUUUUACAUGGAGAUUUAUAAGAAGUUUGCAGUGUGGUGGAUUUCAGUUAGAUAUUGGGCAGAACUUCUGGAUCAGAUCAGGAGAAACCAGACCAACAGGCAGUGGUUAGGGUUUUCUAAGAAAAGGGGCUAAUUUAUCAGUUGACUCCAGGAUAGGGAUUUGUGGAAGUGCAUUGUUGGAGACAAGCAACUUUUCAAGAGCCUUCUUGGCCUUGGCAUAAUUACAUGACUGCCACAUGUUCUGAUAGCUAAGGAACUGGGUUACCGUGGCCCUCGCCCCCUUUCUGCUUCAGGGUCUCUCUUUACUCCGUGCUGUAGCUGCUGAGCCAAGAGGCUUGAAUUGUGUUGUACUAGAGUAAAUGCUUUGUCCUGGCAACCCACCCCCUAACCUGACUUGUGUGGGCUCCUGGAACUUGCCCCAGAAAUAGCUUUUUUUUUUUAUGAGAAUAAAAAAAAAAGAAAAGGAAAAAAAAAGGAAGAAAAAGGCCCAUGAGGGCAUGUUCCCACCAAUCCCUCCCAGGGAGGAGCCUCAGGCUGGGUGGGACCUGUAGCCACAGGCCUGGGCACUGCCCACCUGCCCCGCAGCCAGGAAUUCUGGUAGUUGUGUAGGAGGGAGCUCUGUGGUCCAACAGGGUAAAUUUGGCACCACUAUCCAGAGAUGAUUUUUUGAAGGUUGGGGGGGAAGGGACAGAAGUAGAAUUGUGUGCAUCCCUUGCCUUCCCUAUAGCUCUACCUGUGAAUAAGGUAGAGAUCUACCGAGACAUGGCCGUCAUUCGUGCUGAAAUGGCUGGGAUGGUACUGGGUGAAUAGUGGUGGUUUAAGGUAGAGCCUCACCUGGGGAACAGGAAGUACAUGUGCAUGUUUCUUAGUUAAGAACUGGACGGUCCAGAGCUUGGAAAAAUAAAUAAAGAUACAGCUAAGUAUAGAUUUUAAUAGAAGAGCAAAGUCUGCUGUUCAGAAGAACUAUUUGAAAUCGGACAGUUUUUCUUUUUGUAGUUAGCAUAAUGCAGGACCCAUUGUAAAGGCCUACUGAAUGCUUCUCCAUCGCAUCCCAUUGCCUGGGGAUUGGCGGGGGGGCCGUGAGUUCACUGCCGUUGGUCUUUCCCUCUUGGGCUACUGGAAAGGGUAGGACAAGAGCCAGCAACAUUUUGGUGGACGGUGAUCAGGAGAGCUCACGGCCUACUGUGCUUCAAAGUUUCCCCAAGUGUUUUCCUUCUAGCCAUUUUAAAAAUGAGAAAAUUGAGGCUUAAGGAGAUCAUGACUUGCCUGGGUAGCAGAGCUGGACCUGAAGCCUGCUUCUUUAGGCCCAGAGUCUAAGGUUCUUCCCCCAGUCUGAAUUUUCUUACUCUCCAUCUCUCUGUCGCUCCAUUUGUAGACCACGUGCAAACGUGUCCGUGUGAACUUCCUCUGACGUGCAUUUAAGUUGAUAGAGAUGCAUGGAUGGGGCAGGCUCUGUGUGUGUGACUGCGCAGAUAUGUGUGCGAGUGUGGGAAUAGUGAUGUCAUCGGCAGGAUAGAGAACUUCCAGGAAAGACGUUUUCCCCACCAACACAAACCAAUAAUAUUUGGGAGCUUUUAGGCAUCGAAGAGUUAAGCUGCCUGUCAAGCCCCAAAGUAGAAGUCAGAGGCAAGAGUUAAAUCCGGGUUUUCCUGACUCACCCCUGCGUUCUACCCAUUAGCCCUUGCCCUUCUCACACUUGGUUCUGGAGGACAACUCGUAGACCCCCUUUCCAUAAUCUAUCCGUUACAUAUCUGGUGUAUUGCAUUGUACUGAUUAAUUUUUAAGAAAAUGUCUUGGGUCACUUAACUUUAGGGGAAAAAAAGUUUUAGAUAUAAGCCAGAGCUCAUUUCAGAGAUAAGCCAUCUGCCCAGACUGACCCGUGGGACCCCAGGAUGGUCCGGGACCAAGGUGGCAAACCCCGGCCCUGACAGGAGGGCCUGCGGCGUCUCCACAGGGUUCCUGGGGAGGGGAGGGAUAGGUCACUUUCUCCAUUCCCACUCUCCUUUUCAGUUGCUUUUCUUUUGUCUUGACCUCUGGCUCAUUGACCCUUAAAGCCCCAGCCCCUGAUGGUGCAACCAAGCAUGUCCUUGUCGGGCCCGGAGUGCCUCCGCAGGAUGGGAGAGGAGAGCAUGAGGGUAGAGGGCAGAGAGAGGGGACACGUGUUCUUGGCCAUUGGGCCCUUUCCAAGACAGGUGAACUCUGUGUUCAAAAAGGAGCUAAUUUAAUCUCUUGGCUCCAGUGUGCUUUCUCAAUCUUCCCCAGCCUGCCCCCCCCCCCCCACGCACACACACCUUUAAAGAAUUUAAUCUGCUCAACAACAAACAAUACUGUUAUAAAACUUUGAAAACAAGAGGGCGAGGUCUCCCCGACAAGAGGAGAAGUGCAUGUUGGGUAACGGCCGGAGGGAGAGUGCCAGGCCUGGGAUAGAGCCGGGCGAGAGCCCAGUUGGCUUGGUACCUGGGCACCCGCCCCCACCAGCAGCGUCAUUGCUGACAGGAGGGGGAGACAUCAAAGUUCAGUCAGGGAUCUCUCUCCCCCUCCCUCCUUCUCCUUUCCUCUCCCUCUCUUCUGUCUCUUUUCCCUCCCUCCCUCCUUUCCCCCUCUUUCUCUCUCUCUCUUGUCUCUCUCACAAUCUAUUUCAUUCCCUUCUCUUUCCCUCCAUCCUUUCUCUCCCUCCCUCCUUCCCCACCCCAUUCUCUCUCUUUCCUUCCCUCCUUUUUGCCUCCUCUCCCCUUCCCCCCCCCCCCCCCCCCCAUGGGAAUUCACCAGACUGUGAAACUUCCUCCUCCACCCCUCCCUCCCCGACUCGCUGUUCCUGGUCAUAAGACUGGCAGAGACAGGUCCUGAUAGCAGAGCAGGCCGGUGGGCAGCCGCCCCGCCGCUCGCCACAUGGUGCUUUAGGGGAAGCAGGCGAGGGGCGCGCUCACCGGGCGCUGGGCUCCGGACCUACCCCAUGACCGGCCGGGCCCGGCCCCGCUCCCCCCCCCCCCCAGGAGCAAAGUGGAGCGGCGUCACUGGGCGUGCCCGGCUCGGUGUGCCGCCUGCCAGGUGUGCCAGGCAGUGGGCAGAGCUGCCAGGCUGAGGCUGGCCGACGUGCCCAGCGCUUCCAGGGCGAGAAAGAAGGGGCGCAGGGGGCUGCACUAGGGAGGCCUCUGACCUGUCAGAACCCUUUCCUCAGGGCUGGGAGUCCUUUGGAAGAAGUGGAAGCUGUGCCGGGGACACCGGCACCUGGCCGACUCCUGAGAGCGUGAGGACGACGGGGCUUCCUCCAGCCGCGGCCUCCUGGGGAGCAGGUGCCCAGCCGAGAGUGCCCGGUAGGAGACAGCCCGCCCCGAGGGGCCGGGGAGGGGGGGCCGGGCUCCCCCAGCUCGGGGCCUGGGGAGCGAGCACAUGGAGCCCGGGGCCUCCCCAGGCUCCUCCCUCCGGGCUCCUCCUGACAUUGCCCCAGCCCCGGCCUGUUGGCUCUCCCGGGCUGCGGUUUCACUUUUGAAUCGGCCUUCCCCGGAGAGGGCCUUAAUCCUCCGGUGUGUGUCUGAGACUUUGGGCCCGGACUCGGAGGCCCACCUGUUGGGGCGGCGACCCCUGUGCGCGCCCCCGGAAGGGUCUUCGCUCCUCCGGGAGCACCGGGAGGGCACCAGCUUCCUUUCCCUGCCCCGUGCCUGGGCCUUUCCGGGGCGCUCUCACACACACGGGCAUCCCCCCUUGGAGCCAGACCCAGAAGCCUCUCCUUCCCCCUCAGGAAACCAGAGAGCCGGUGCCGGGGACCUCACACAGUGAUUUCCUGACAGAGGGCCUCCCUUUGUGGGUUAGCCUGCACCUUCUGGGCUUUGUCAUUGGGAGCUAGAACGGCCGUGCGGAGGCCCCGGUGGUCCUGCCCCUCCCCUCCCCCCCCCCCCCCCGGAGGCGGGCCCCCGCCCCGCCCCCGUGCCUGCAGGACGGGAAGGCCCCCCCAGGGCGAUCGCAAAAGGGUCCCCUCGAGUCCCAGCCCCCCGCGAGGCAGCCGGGGGAGCCGGAGUCAGGGCCCAGGAGGGAGGCCCGGGGCCGCGUGCUCCGGCUGGGAUGUAAGGGCCAAGCCGGGGCGAGCUGGGAGCAGAGCUGGCCCCGCCCCCUGCAGACCCAGACCCCGUGUCCCCGCCGCGUGGGGCCUGGCGAGGCCCGGAGCGGCGUUUCCUGCCGGACUCCCGGGGCCGGCCCGGAGCGGGGCUUUUCUGCGUCCUUUGCGCCCACCCCUCGGCGGCUGUGAGCCGGCGCCGGAGGCACGGGCAGGACGGAGAAGCUGCUGCUGCUGUCGGGGGAGUCUCUGCGGGCCCUGAGGCGGGCCGGGGAGGACGGGCGGCCCCCCCAGGGCUCUCUCCCCCGCUUCCCACAAGUUCUCCAUCCCUCCUUAGCCGAGUACUUAUCAGGGACCGGCUCCAUGCGCGGUGCUGGGGGAGGCCCAGGAACCGCGGAGCCCCCGCCGGUUCUGCAGCUGUGCUUUCUCCCUUUGGGGAGGCAAUGGAGCGGCCGCCUCUGUGCUCGGGUCCUCCCGCCCGCAGGGCGGCGCUCUCACUCCGCCGGCCCUCCCUGCGUGUAGGUCUGCCACCCGAGAUCUCCUGGGUCCGGCUUUUCCUCAGACGGACAGACCCCCUCCCUCUCAUUUUGGUCGGCGCCACUAGGGGUACGGCGUGGGAGAGCCCCGUCCUCCGGUCAAUGCGCCGCCGGGCUGGAGGCUUCGGUUAGCCACAGCCUCAGGCAGUGGGGGGUGGGGAGGGAGGGAAGGGCCGGCUCUUUGAGUAAAAUGUAAGAUCUCCUUGGGCCUUUGCAUCCCCAGGGCCCUGCACACAGAGGACACAUCAAUAAAUGCGUUAGGGCCGCUAGGGGACGCUGCGGAGGGAGCCCCAGCCCGGAAGUCAGGAGGCCCCGAGUUCAAAUCCAGCCUCGGACACUUAACGCCUCCUGGCUGUGUGACCCCGGGCAAGUCACUUAACCCCAGCUGCCUCAGCGAACAUAGAUAAAGGUGUUAGAUCUCAGGUGCGAUGCACCUCGGCUGGUUGGGUUGCAGGAAGGCCGCGGGCCCGGUCAGGGACGGCUUGCGGAGAGGACAGACGCCCUGGGGGGGGGGGGGGGGGUUAGAGGA